UAUGGAGGAGCAGUGGAUGAUGUUGAAUGCCUCCUAUAGAGCUGCACAGCUACUAUAUGAGUAUAUUGGUACAGGACUUCAGUACGUGAGCAAGGUGCAGGUGCAGGUGCAUGGACAAUCAACAGACUCCCAUGCAUUGUUACCAAAGUAAGUAAUGACAGUAAGUUAAAAUUAUUAAGAACAUGUAUCGUUAACGGUGUUUUGGAAUCCUUCAUUCGAUGGCAUCCCAUGCACUGAUUUAUUGUUUUGAGCAUUUAAAAGCAGCAGUUUGAUCCGAGCAGUACUUUGAGGGACAAACUUCAACAUAUCUCAUCUCCAAGCAAAAAACAAAGCCGGGCAAUAAAGUUUGCAGCUCUAUACUAACGGGAAAGAAAGUGGAGACAACAAAAUGUAGUAACAUAAUUAUAUACGUAUAUACUGUUCGAGAGAUGAUCACGGAUAAAGGCACUAAGACAGGCUAAGGAGAAAUUACUGGAAAAAAACACUCCUGAGUCCAUGCAUCUCAUCUCAGCCACAAAGCAGUAAAUUCUUUGUUUCACUAUAUACACGCUUUAAUGUAUGAAUGUACCUGCAUGUAAAUGCCAACGAAUAUACUCUGAGAAAAUUGUCUUGGUUACAAGAUGCCUGCAUUGUGCUGGUGAGUAUAUAUCAAUGAUUAAGUUGCACAUUAACUGUUUAAACACAGUUUCUAUAUACUAAUUAUAAUGUUGACAGCAUUGUUUCUUGCGUAUAUACUGCCCCCAACAGCACGACAGCAUCUUUGCAUGUUUGACACAAACCACAAUCUUCUUUUACAUUCGGAGCAUUCGUCACAGGGCCAAGAUAGUUCAUUUACAGUAGUAUAUACAACGUUGUACACUAUCAACUUUCUUUGUAAACUAUGAAGGAAACUAUUGUAGAUGAACUAAAAUUCAACAACAUUGCAUGUAAACUAUGAUGUACAUUCGCAAGUACAAACAUAGUUUACAAGCUGUAAACUACCACUUC